CUAAAAGCAGGGAACAUUUCCAUGGGGAUUGGCUGGAGUGGAAUAGGGGCUUGUCAAGGAAGCUGCCUGGAUAAGAACUACAGUUUUAGUCCAGUUGCUGCCCCAGCAGAGGGGGUGAACAGAAUCUGCAUUUGGACAAUAUCCUCUGUGAUUCUUAUGCUGUUGAAGAAACCAGGACCCGGAGGACUCACAGACAGAAGAAAGUCUAUUAUGACCACGAGAUGGGGGCAUUCUGAGUACAAGAUGCAGUUGUCUUUUGAAAAACGAAAAUGGCUCCCUAUAAGGUGUAUUUCCUUCUCCAGAACCCAGGUGACAGAGCUUCUGUCAUUUGGAAGGUUGCUGACCUCCAUGGCAAAGGGAAAGAACGCUUUGGGGGGUCUCACACUGGCCCAGAG
rnacentral:lncRNA from 1 species